rnacentral:ncRNA from 1 species
UACUAUCGACUUAAUUGUCUAAUGGACUUGAGUGGUCCCUAAUUCUAUCUUCCACUACUUCACUCCUACAAGACUCUGCUAGGAGGCCUGAGGGCAAAUCUUACCGGUGAAGCAGUCGGAUGCCCCCAAAGAUGACCGUGACGCCAUGGGAAAGCCCACGCUGGAGCAGGCUGUGCCUGAAGGACUGCAGCCCACGGGAAGGACCCACACUGGAGCAGUUCGUGAAGAACUGCAGCCCGUGGGAAGGACCCACGUUGGAGAAGUUCGUGAAAGACUGUCGCCCGUGGGAGGGACCCCAUGCUAGAGCAGGGGACGAGUGAGGAGUCCUCCCCCUGAGGAGGGAGGAGCGGCAGAGACAAUGUGUGAUGAACUGACCCCAACCCCCAUUCCCAUCCCCCUGUGCUGCUGCUGGGGAGGAGGUAGAGAAUUCGGGAAUGGAUUUGAGCCAGGAAGGAGGGAGGGGUGGGAUGAAGGUUUGGUUUUACUUCUCAGUAUCCUUGUUUUGAUUUGAUUUGUAGUAAAUUAAAUUGAUUUUGUUUCUUCCUCCAGUUGAGCCUGUCUUUUGCCCGUGACCAUAAGUGGGAGUGAUGCCUCCCAGUUCUUGUCUCGACCCACGAGCCUUUCUUGAUCGUUUCUCCUCAUCCUACCGUGGCUGGGGCAGGUGGUGGGGAGUGAGCAAGCGGCUGCGUGGUGCUUUGUUACCAGCUGGGCUGAAAGCAUAACAGUGAUCAAUAAAUAGCCAAAUGCCUCAUCAUCCAAUUAGUGAUGUGCAUGAAUGGAUAAAUGAGAUUCCCACUGUCCCUAGUUACUAUCAAGCAAAACGACAGCCAAGAGAACAGGCUUGGCAGAAUCAGCAGGGAAAGAAGACCCUGUGAAAGAAGCAUGACUCCAGUCUGGCACUGCAAAGAGACAUCAGAGGAAUAGAACAAAUGGGAGGCCCCGCGGUUAUGCAAUUCAGGCCACGGUCCAGUUGCCAGUGAAAUACUACUGGCAAAAAAAUAAUUUUUUCCACCUACCCAGUGAGGUGGGGGGGGG